rnacentral:rRNA from 1 species
CCUACGGGAGGCAGCAGUAGGGAAUCUUCCACAAUGGGCGAAAGCCUGAUGGAGCAACGCCGCGUGGGUGAAGAAGGUCUUCGGAUCGUAAAACCCUGUUGUUAGAGAAGAAAGUGCGUGAGAGUAACUGUUCACGUUUCGACGGUAUCUAACCAGAAAGCCACGGCUAACUACGUGCCAGCAGCCGCGGUAAUACGUAGGUGGCAAGCGGUAUCCGGAUUUAUUUGGCGUAAAGGGAACGCAGGUGGUCUUUUAAGUCUGAUGUGAAAGCCUUCGGCUUAACCGGAGUAGUGCAUUGGAUACUGGGAGACUUGAGUACAGAAGAGGAGAGUGGAACUCGAGGUGUAGCGGUGAAAUGCGUAGAUAUAUGGAAGAACCCCAGUGGCGAAAGCAGCUCUCUGGUAUGUAACUGACGCUGAGGUUCGAAAGCGUGGGUAGCAAACAGGAUUAGAUACCCUUGUAGUC